AACUUUACAAUGCGGGAAACCGUGAUAAGGGAAUCUCGAGUGCCAGCAUAUAAUGUUGGCUGUCCAGAUGCCUAAAAAGCAUCUGUUAGCAAGGGCCGGGCAAGACCGGUGCCAGCCGCCGCGGUAACACCGGCGGCCCGAGUGGUAACCACUUUUAUUGGGUCUAAAGGGUCUGUAGCCGGCCAUGUAAGUCCCUUGGGAAAUCUGGCAGCUCAACUGUCAGGCUGCUAGGGGAUACUGCAUGGCUUGGGACCGGGAGAGGUGAGAGGUACCUUGGGGGUAGGGGUGAAAUCUUGUGAUCCUCGGGGGACCACCAGUGGCGAAGGCGUCUCACCAGAACGGGUCCGACGGUAAGGGACGAAAGCUAGGGGCACGAACCGGAUUAGAUACCCGGGUAGUCCUAGCCGUAAACGAUGCUCGCUAGGUGUCAGUCACGGUGCGACCGUGAUUGGUGCCGUAGGGAAGCCGUGGAGCGAGCCACCUGGGAAGUACGGCCGCAAGGCUGAAACUUAAAGGAAUUGGCGGGGGAGCACUACAACGGGUGGAGCCUGCGGUUUAAUUGGAUUCAACGCCGGAAAUCUCACCGGGGGCGACAGCAAUAUGAAGGUCAGGCUGAAGACCUUACCGGAUUAGCUGAGAGGUGGUGCAUGGCCGUCGUCAGUUCGUACUGUGAAGCAUAA
rnacentral:rRNA from 1 species